GUGGGGAAUCUUGCGCAAUGGGCGAAAGCCUGACGCAGCCAUGCCGCGUGAAUGAAGAAGGUCUUAGGAUUGUAAAAUUCUUUCACCGGGGACGAUAAUGACGGUACCCGGAGAAGAAGCUCCGGCUAACUUCGUGCCAGCAGCCGCGGUAAUACGAAGGGGGCUAGCGUUGCUCGGAAUUACUGGGCGUAAAGGGCGCGUAGGCGGACAGCUUAGUCAGAGGUGAAAGCCCAGGGCUCAACCUUGGAAUUGCCUUUGAUACUGGCUGUCUUGAGUUUGGGAGAGGUGAGUGGAACUCCGAGUGUAGAGGUGAAAUUCGUAGAUAUUCGGAAGAACACCAGUGGCGAAGGCGACUCACUGGCCCAAUACUGACGCUGAGGCGCGAAAGCGUGGGGAGCAAACAGGAUUAGAUACCCGUGUAGUCC
rnacentral:rRNA from 1 species